rnacentral:misc_RNA from 1 species
GAAGCGGGUCGGUGUCGGGGCUGUUUGACAUGCCUGAGCUUGUAGCCCAGCACCCCGCGCACGCCAACGCCGGUUCGUCCGCGGUCUGUUUUUCCGUGCGAACCCCGUUGUCCGGCGCGCGCGGCUUUGCACAAUCCGCCGCCGAGGAGGGCUCACAUGGAGCUGAAAGGCGAAUACCGGAUUCCGGCGCCGCGGGAAGCGGUCUGGGCGAUGCUGAACGACCCCGCUGUCCUGCGCGACUGCAUUCCCGGCUGCGAGACGCUGGAAGGAAGCCCCGGCGAGGGCUUUUCGGCCCGCGUGACCACCAAGAUCGGGCCGGUGAAAGCCACCUUCAACGGCGCCGUGACCCUGUCAAAUGUCAACGCUCCCGAGAGCUACACGAUUUCCGGGGAAGGGAAGGGGGGCGUCGCCGGUUUUGCGAAAGGCGGAGCGGA